rnacentral:rRNA from 1 species
CACACCGCCCGUCACACCAUGGAAGUCUGCUGCACCAGAAGUAGGUAGUCUAACCGCAAGGGGGCGCCUACCACGGUGUGGCCGAUGACUGGGUG